AUGGACACUCUCCCAGAAUACAUGGGAAGUAUAAACCCAUGGCAUUUGGAGCUAUACUGCAGCCUAGCACUGCUCGCUUCCAUAGCCGCAGGACAAUCUGGCCCUGAGUGGGACAAGUUCAGCCAUGUUGAGCAUGUCAAGGCAUAUGCACGCGAAGGAGGUAAUUCAAGGAAAUGGUAUGUCUUCUACACAGCUAAACCAUACAGCUUGGAGACAAAUGUCAGCCACUCUUUCAUGUCCAGAGGAACCUUUACUUGUUUUGAGGACGCACAAAGAUUUGAGUCUCUCUUCAAAAUGACGAGAAAAACCUUUAGCUACAUCUGCAGCUUGGUGAUGGGGCCAUCAAUGGAAGAUAUGAAGAGCUACACCUUUGUUGACGGGAGGGUGUUGUCUUUAGAAGAUCGGGUAGCCGUUGCACUUAGAAGGUUGCAGUCCAGUGAGCCAACAGAGAGCAUAGCAUCCUCUCUUGGUGUCAAAGAUUCAAUCAUCUUGUUGGUAAUUGAGAGGUUUGUUGAUACUAUGCGGGAGCGGGCAAACCACCACUCAAGCUGGCCAGAUUGUAGUGAAAAGGAUGAAAUCAAAUCAAAGUUUGACAAGAUCCACAAUAUGCAUAACUGUUGCGGGGUUAUAUGUACAACGCACAUCCCAUUUGGACCAAACUGCAGCCAUGAGAAGAAUGAUAGCAUUCGGAUGCAGCUUGUCAUUGAUCCAGACAUGAGGUUCAAGAACAUUUGGUUGGGACCGGCAAGUAGCAUGAACCAGUCGAGCCUUUUGCAGGACUCUGAAAUCUUCCAGGAGUGCGAGAAGGGUGCUUGGCUGAAUGGUAGCAACCUGAAGGUAGCAUUAGAUGGACCAGAAGUCGGGGAAUACAUAAUUGGUGAUGCAGGAUAUCCUCUUCUCCCAUGGUUACUCACACCUUAUCAGGAAGAAGACCUCUCAGAUUCCAAGGCAGAGUUCAAUAGGAGACACUCUGCAGCCACAACUUGUGCUCUGAAGGCACUCGCAAGGCUCAAAGACACAUGGAAGUGCCUGCAGGGAGAGGCGUGGUGGCCUGCCAAUGUGAAAACUCGAAGUAGAAUGAUAUAUGCCUGCUGCAGGUUGCAUAACAUAGUCAUAGAAAUGGAGGAUGAUGCAGCCAUGCUGAGCACCAAGCGGAGGAAUUACUCCAAGGAAGUGCGCCAGAUAGCAAAGGAGGAUGCUGUGAGGGCGAGGGAUAUGCUAUCGCAAUACUUCUUGGCCAGCAGGUCAUAUGAAUGGGGAGAGCAGGAUGAUGAAGCAGCUUCAUCAGGCUCAGGGGGUAAAACCAAGAGACAAGAAGCGCAUGCAAGAACAGAAGAUGAAGAGAUCAUUAACUAG
rnacentral:rRNA from 1 species